GUCGGUGAGCGUUAAAGAACCCGCAGACCCAUUGCAGGCAAGCCAGCAAGUAUUCUUACCUGUGAGCAGGAGAAAAUGGUGUCCAGGAAGCUUCUGUAAUGAGAAUCCCCAGGAGUGCCUGUUGAAAAAUACUGGUUCCCAGUCUCUCCAAUGGAAAGCUUGAUUUUGUAGAUUCACAUAAAAGUUGGGCAGUUCUCAUCAUGGACCAGGACCACGGGGACAAUGCUGACUCACAUGACAGCCACCUGUUAUAUAACUCUGGAUCCAGGAACUCCAGAGCACUCACAUGGUCUCCAUGUGCAUCUGGCACACGUGUGGAACACACACACACACACCCACACCCACACACGCAGGUGAAACCUCUGUGUGAACUUAAAGACAAUGAGAACAGAUCCCUUGUACCUCUCUUAAGGAUUCCGGUUGUGCAGGGAGGGCUGGCGACUCACGUCUUGAGCUUCUUAGGUGCCUCUGUCUAUCGCUAAGCUGUUUUAUAGGGCGGCAGAGUUCUAGGAAAGGUAAGACAAUGUUCCAGGGUUGGUGGGAGGCAUGGUGCUGCAUGAGUUGACUCCCUGCUCCUUCCUGGUGGGGCAGUCAGAGGCAGUGUUUGUUUCUUCUGCCACCGGCUUUCCAGUGGAGAAGCCCAGGGAAUAGGGCCCUGCACCAAGAUACACACACAAACACACACAGACACAUACACACACGCCUUUUAACAAUGCACUAGUAAUGUCUAUUUCCUUUCAAACACAUUCUCUAAUGCAUCUGGGAACUAUGGGAAAUGGGCUGAUACAAUCUAGACUGGUUUGUGGUACAUACACAAUAAGGCAAACUAUGCCUUCCGUAUCCACUGUUUAUUAUCUUACACUUAUGCAUAAUCGAGUGUGCAUCUGAUUGAAAUCAGAUAUAUUGUGAGAAGAGGCACCUGCAAGAGAAAAAAGUUUCAACUUAUUCUGUCAGUCAAAAUAGAGAACCACCCAUGCCAUACUCCUUCGCCACCAAACUCCUCUCUUAACCUCCCAAACAAUAAUCAGGGGCUCAUGGGCCACUAGUACUCUUGAGAGCAUAUUUCUUUCUGAUCUGUCCUACUGCUUUGCUCUGGAUCAAGUCUCCUUUCUUGUGUUCAGUUUGUGUGAGCUUUUAUUUCAGUUCUUUGAAGAAGAGGCUAAGAACCUGGGAACGCUCAGCCUCGACUCUGGCCAUUGGUAAUAGGAACGCUGGUGUCUGUGGGGUCUGAGUACAGCAGGCACUUAGAAAUUGCUUUUGCUAAAAAGCAUUGAUUCCUCUCAUCCACCCUCAAGGUAAUUGAAAGUACUAGGAAAGCCUGCAUCUUCCCUGUUCUUUUGUGUGUGUAUCUGUAUUCAUUUCUGUCCUAGUUUCCUUUCUAUUUCUAUGAUUAAAAAAAUUUUUUUUGACCAAAAAGCAACCUGGAAAGGAAAGGGCUUAUUUGGCCCACACUUCUGUCUCACAGCUCAUCAUGGAGGGAAGUCAGGGCAGAAAUUCAAGCAGGAAUUGGAGGCAGAACUGAAGCAGAGGCCAUAGAAGAAUGAUGUUUACUAGCUUGUUUUCAUGACUUGCUCCACUUACUUCCUUAUACGACCUAGGACCAUCUUCCCAGGAAUGGUACCUCCCACCGUGGACUGGACCCUUCACAUACAUCAUUAAUUAAGAAAAUGUCUCCAUAGACACGCUCACUGGCCAAUCUGACGGGCAAUCCCUUAAUUGAUGUUUCCUUUUCCCUGGAGACUCUAGUUUGUGGGAAGUUGACAAGAGCAGUUACCACGCCUAUUGAUGUCACAAAAUGCCUGACAAGGGGUAACUUAAGGGAGGAAGAAGGCCCUCCGUUGGCUCACGUAGCCUGUGGGGACAUGUUCCUUCUUGGCUGGGAAAGCAAGUGGGCCUGAACAGAAGGCUGGCUGGUUACGUUGCUUGGACAAUCAGGAAAAGAAAGCAAACAGGAAAUGAGGUUGGACUACAAUAACCUCAAGGCAUACCUCAGUGACCCACUUCCUCAGCCAGACUCUACCUCCUAAUGGUUCUACAGCCUUCUCAAACAGGAACACCCGCUGAGGACCAAGUAUUAAACACAGAAGCCCAAGGGAGACAUUUCAUACUCAAACUAUAACAGUCUCCUUUACUUUGCAACAGACUUCGGCUUGGAUGGACAUAGGCUUGACAGUCAGAGAGGUGUGUGUCUACCUAACAUAGCCAAGACUGAAAACACAGAGAUUCCAUGGCAAACAAAGCCUUGCAGAACAGACCAUCUGCCUGAGGCAGGUAAUUCUCUAUGAUGGCAAGGGAUAUUCCCCUCCCACUCCUGAACCAGCUCGUCUCCUCAACCAGUAAGGACUUCUUCACCCGACAGAACCAGAACAAAGAUCACCUUGACUAUGCCUGCAUGACUCACACAUUUCUCUCCUUUUGUUUAUAUGCUUCUUCUGUUUAACCUCAUGUAUAUGUCUGUAUCCUGAUGAUAGAGUUGGGGACUCACUGGAUCCUUUGUCCACUCUUCCCAACGUGGUGUGGCCAUAUUGAUUAAAUCUCCUUUCUCUGCUGUUUGCCA